rnacentral:rRNA from 1 species
UACGUAGGGUGCGAGCGUUGUCCGGAAUUACUGGGCGUAAAGAGCUCGUAGGUGGUUUGUCGCGUUGUUCGUGAAAACCGGGGGCUUAACCCUCGGCGUGCGGGCGAUACGGGCAGACUGGAGUACUGCAGGGGAGACUGGAAUUCCUGGUGUAGCGGUGAAAUGCGCAGAUAUCAGGAGGAACACCGGUGGCGAAGGCGGUUCUCUGGGCAUGUCCUGACGC